AACAGAGCCGAAUGCACUUUUAAUUUUUCCUUUUUUCUUUUCUUUUUGUCCUUCCAACAAAAUAAGGGAAUCAUCUUUUUUACCUCCUUCCCCUAUCAUUUUUCUCUCCCUCUACUCAAUACAAAAUAUACAUUAAUUAAAGAUUCUUCAUAAAUAUUAAUCUUUUAAAUAAUAUUUUUCUUAAUAUAAGCUCAAACAAUAAUGUCAAAUAGACUCUUAUAAUGCCAUAAUAAUUAUAAUAAGUGAAUAAAUAAAUAUAAAAAAACAUAAAAAUUUUAUAACAAAAAAGCGAUGCACUAAAAUAUUGUUCAUCACAAUGAAUCAAUAUACUCAAUAAAGUUAAAAAAAAAAAAGUCUGAUGAUAGAAUAGGGGCUACCUUAAAUCACAG
rnacentral:misc_RNA from 1 species